GUGAAAUCUGGGGGAGCAGGUGCAAGGCCAUUGUUCCUUUUGAUAAUCCUCAGUGUUCUCUCCCAGAGGAGCAGGGACCAAUUUCCCCAGCCAUGAGAUGCAGCAACGCAUGAGAACUGCUGCCAACCAAGGAGGCUCACUGAAGACGAGGUGCCCAGGACCCUAAUGAGGGACUGUGGUGAUUUAUUUUAUAUGUCCACUUGGCUAAGCCAUGGUGCCUGGAUGUUUGGUCAAAUACCAGCCUAGAUGUUGCUGUAAAGUUUUCCUUUUUGUUUUUAGAUGAGACAAACAUUUAAAUCAAUAGGCUUCUAGUAAAGCAGAUGACUCUCCAUAAUGUACAUGGGUCUCAUCCAAUCAACUGAACAAAGUCUGAGGUUUCUGUAUGAAUGAGAGGGGAACCCCUGCUGGAGUUUCCAACCUGCUGUCCUGCAGAAGUUGGGCUCAAAACUGCAACUCUGAAUUUGCAGCCUGCCAAUCUGCCCUACUGAUUUUGACCUUGCUAGCCACCUCUGUGUCUCUUUGUCUAUCUCUCUACCUCUCUCUCUCUUUCUUUUCCUCUCUCUUCAUAUAUAUCUCUGGUUGGUUCUGUUUCUCUGAAGAACAAUGACUAAUUCAGGAAUGCUCACAUAGGUCCCUUUGUCUGGCAUAUGCCUAAAUUCCAGUCUUCCUGAAGGAAAGCAGGUGUUAAGCAUCAACCAUAAUAUUUGUACAAACACUUGAGGCACAGCGAGUCACUCUUAACAGUGAAUGGUGAGAACUCUCCUGAAAUCCAAGUUCCCAGAUACCAGCAAAGGCCAAGCUUGUAAACAGACCUUUAUGUGAACAAGCAGUGGGGCCUACUCUGAUAACUCUUUUUGUAGGGAAGGUGAGUAGUUUAAAUUGAGGUAACAGGGAGUUGAUGGAUUUUUUAAAAAUGGAAAUAUGUUAUUGUACUGAGAGUUUA
rnacentral:lncRNA from 1 species